GACGAACGCUGGCGGCGUGCCUAAUACAUGCAAGUUGAGCGCUGAAGGUUGGUCCUUGUACCAACUGGAUGAGCAGCGAACGGGUGAGUAACGCGUGGGGAAUCUGCCUUUGAGCGGGGGACAACAUUUGGAAACGAAUGCUAAUACCGCAUAAAAACUUUAAACACAAGUUUUAAGUUUGAAAUAUGCAAUUGCAUCACUCAAAGAUGAUCCCGCGUUUUAUUGGCUAGUUGGUGAGGUAAAGGCUCACCAAGGCGAUGAUACAUAGCCGACCUGAGAGGGUGAUCGGCAAAAUUGGGACUGAGAAACGGCACAAACUCCUACGGGAGGCAGCAGUAGGGAAUCUUCGGCAAUGGACGAAAGUCUGACCGAGAAACGCCGCGUGAGUGAAGAAGGUUUUCGGAUCGUAAAACUCUGUUGGUAGAGAAGAACGUUGGUGAGAGUGGAAAGCUCAUCAAGUGACGGUAACUACCCAGAAAGGGACGGCUAACUACG
rnacentral:rRNA from 1 species